rnacentral:misc_RNA from 1 species
UCUAUCGCGGUGAGCAUCUGU